rnacentral:rRNA from 1 species
UACGUAGGGGGCAAGCGUUGUCCGGAAUCAUUGGGCGUAAAGAGCGUGUAGGCGGUCCGGUCAGUCGGUUGUGAAAGUCAAGGGCUCAACCCUUGAAUGCCGGCCGAUACUGCCGGGCUAGGAGUCCGGAAGAGGUGAGUGGAAUUCCUGGUGUAGCGGUGAAAUGCGCAGAUAUCAGGAGGAACACCGAUGGCGAAGGCAGCUCACUGGGACGGUACUGACGCUGAGACGGCGAAAGCGUGGGGAGCAAACAGG